GAAGCUAAUUUAUCAUACCAACAUUUGUAAUUAAACCUUAAUUUAUUUUAUACGCCCUCUUUGAACGUCACUGAUAUUCCACGUGUUACGCACGUAUAAUGGAUCGUUUUUUAAUUAAGAAAUCUAAAUUAAGUGAGGAGUUGUCUUUCCCAAAUACAAGUGCUUAAAGUGUUGAUGUUGAAGAAUUGCCUGGUAUUAGUUCUAAUAGUUGUAGUGUUGAGGUAAGUGUAGGAACAAUUAUUGACGUAUCACCAAAAAGAAGUUUCGACAAUGUCAUGAAAGCUACUUAUCAUUUGGUUUCAUGUCAACUGGUG